AGCAGUGAGGAAUAUUGGUCAAUGGACGAGAGUCUGAACCAGCCAAGUAGCGUGAAGGAUGACUGCCCUAUGGGUUGUAAACUUCUUUUAUAUGGGAAUAAAAUGUUCCACGUGUGGGAUUUUGUAUGUACCAUAUGAAUAAGGAUCGGCUAACUCCGUGCCAGCAGCCGCGGUAAUACGGAGGAUCCGAGCGUUAUCCGGAUUUAUUGGGUUUAAAGGGAGCGUAGGUGGAUUGUUAAGUCAGUUGUGAAAGUUUGCGGCUCAACCGUAAAAUUGCAGUUGAAACUGGCAGUCUUGAGUACAGUAGAGGUGGGCGGAAUUCGUGGUGUAGCGGUGAAAUGCUUAGAUAUCACGAAGAACUCCGAUUGCGAAGGCAGCUCACUGGACUGCAACUGACACUGAGGCUCGAAAGUGUGGGUAUCAAACAGGAUUAGAUACCCUGGUAGUCCACACAGUAAACGAUGAAUACUCGCUGUUUGCGAUAUACAGUAA
rnacentral:rRNA from 1 species